AAAAUUUAAAAUAAACAGAGCAAGGGCAAAAGCAGCUAGUAUUUGCUUUUUUUAACUAUAGUAGGUAAAAUGAUGAAUAAGCUCUUGUUUAACAUCCAAGCUUUUCUCCCUUUAAUCUCACAUUAAUUAUUGUAUUUAAAGGCU